rnacentral:rRNA from 1 species
UUUCCCUACGGGGGGCAGCAGUAGGGAAUUUUCGGCAAUGGGCGAAAGCCUGACCGAGCAACGCCGCGUGAACGAAGAAGGUCUUCGGAUUGUAAAGUUCUGUUAUAGAGGAAGAAUGGUGUACGUAGGAAAUGGCGUACAAAUGACGGUACUCUGUGAGGAAGCCACGGCUAACUACGUGCCAGCAGCCGCGGUAAUACGUAGGUGGCGAGCGUUAUCCGGAAUCAUUGGGCGUAAAGGGAACGCAGGCGGUCUUUUAAGUCUGAUGUGAAAGCCUUCGGCUUAACCGGAGGAGUGCAUUGGAA